rnacentral:lncRNA from 1 species
AAACGAACUGGAUUUGGACUAAUGAAAAAAGGAAAAACGGUCAGCUGUUGUCACAGUAAGUGAAGGCAAAAUCAUGAGCAGGCCUUUGCCUUAUCAUAUCUACUUCUUUUCGGGACUGUUGACCUGUUGGAUAUCAUGUACAUCUUCGGCCAACAAAUGUACUGUUAGGCAUGAAGCAGCCGAUUGCAGUCAUCUGAAGUUGACUCAAAUACCUGAUGACCUCCCAACAAACAUAACUGUGUUGAAUCUUACCCAUAAUCAACUCAGAAGAUUGCCAGCUGCCAAUUUUACAAGAUACAGCCAACUUACUAUCUUGGAUGGGGGAUUUAACUCCAUCUCAAAGCUGGAGCCAGAACUGUGUCAAAGUCUCCCUUGGUUGGAAAUUUUGAACCUCCAACACAAUGAGAUAUCUCAGCUUUCUGAUAAAACCUUUAUCUUCUGCAUGAAUUUGACUGAACUCCAUCUAAUGUCCAACACAAUCCAAAAAAUUCAAAAUGAUCCGUUUAAAAACCUGAAGAAUUUAAUCAAAUUAGACCUCUCUCACAAUGGCUUAUCAUCUACGAAAUUAGGAACUCAGCUCCAACUGGAGAACCUCCAAGAGCUUCUAUUAUCAAAUAACAAAAUUUCUUCACUAACACCAGAAGCACUUGAUUUCCUUGGCAAUUCUUCUUUAAAAAGAUUAGAGUUGUCAUCAAAUCAAAUCAAAGAGGUAAGUUCCGUCUGCUUCAGUUCCCUAGAUCUGAAAUGGAUAUAG